rnacentral:snRNA from 1 species
UCUGUCAUUUCUGUUCUC